CGGCUCCUCGAGUAGCAAGGAACUCCACCCUCACACGGCGGAGGUCCGGGGUUCAAAUCCCCGCGGGCCCACCA
rnacentral:tRNA from 1 species